AGAGCAACCUCUCUUUUAUUAGAGAGCAAGCGUAUACCUAAGAAAGGCCAGACACAGAGAAGUUUGGGUUGUGCUUGGUUUAGCUGUCAAUUUUCAAUUAUUAAAAAGGAAUUAGGUAUUAGUUUUAUCUAAUAGCUAACGACUUAUUUACAGUCUCAUAGCUCAGCUGGUUAGAGCGCUACACUGAUAAUGUAGAGGUCGGCAGUUCGAGUCUGCCUGAGACUACGAUUAAGAUUGAUAUACGGGUUUUUAAGACCUGUAUUACGUUCAUUACAAAUUGAAAGGAAAUUCUAGAAGUUGAGUAGUAGUUGUAUCUAACUACUAACUACUAUGUACUAACUACUAGUAUAUGGGGGAUUAGCUCAGCUGGCUAGAGCGCCUGCCUUGCACGCAGGAGGUCAUCGGUUCGACUCCGAUAUUCUCCACCAAGGGCAAUUGAUUUUUGUCCCCACGAUCAAAGAGCGAUUCUAAGUGCUUGCGAUGGGGGGUAAAAAAGUCCGGACAGUUCAUUGACAUAUUGGGAAAUAAGAAUACGAGAAAAGCAAUAAUUAAAGUAUAUUGAAUUAUACAAUUGAAUAACUCAUUAAAGAGCAAAAAAGUAC
rnacentral:misc_RNA from 1 species